rfam:Brachypodium distachyon strain Bd21 chromosome 1, whole genome shotgun sequence.
CUAGUACUCCCUCCGUUCCAUAAUUCUUGUCUCAAAUUUGUCCAAAUAUGGUAUCUAUUCCUAAAAAGCGUCUAGAUACAUGUAUACAUGUAAUAUUUCGACAAGAAUUAUGGAACGGAGGGAGUACAUC